UACGUAGGGGGCAAGCGUUGUCCGGAUUUAUUGGGCGUAAAGCGCGCGCAGGCGGCCUCGCGCGCCCGACGUGAAAGCCCCCGGCUUAACCGGGGAGGGUCGUUGGGGACGGCGGGGCUUGAGGGCGGGAGAGGUCGGUGGAAUUCCCGGUGUAGUGGUGAAAUGCGUAGAGAUCGGGAGGAACACCUGUGGCGAAGGCGGCCGACUGGGCCGACCCUGACGCUGAGGCGCGAAGGCGUGGGGAGCGAACGGG
rnacentral:rRNA from 1 species